GGCUAGUCUCAAACUCCUGACCUCGUGAUCCACCCGCCUUGGCCUCCCAAAGUGCUGGGAUUACAGGUGUGAGCCACCACACUCAGCCUCCAAAUAUGAUUUCUUUAAGUUAACCUUUUACCAAAACUCCAGCCAGAGGUAACCUGUAGGUAUUACGGUUUGAACUAGCAGAGGUCCUGAGACCAUCUAACUGUUGGGUCUAUUUCUUGGGGACAGCAGCUACCAAGGGGGUGCCAGCUGGAAACAGUGACACAGAGGGGGGCCAGCCUGGUCGGAAACGACGCUGGGGAGCCAGCACAGCCACCACACAGAAGAAACCUUCCAUCAGUAUCACCACUGAAUCACUAAAGGUGAGGUGGGAGGAGCCAGGGAAGGGAGGAUGAGACCUGUUAAGGUGGGAGUAGACAUGGGCCCAGUGUAACGGGGUGGGGGGUAUCUGUGUCCCAGAGCCUCAUCCCCGACAUCAAACCCCUGGCGGGGCAGGAGGCUGUUGUGGAUCUUCAUGCUGAUGACUCUCGCAUCUCUGAGGAUGAGACAGAGCGUAAUGGCGAUGAUGGGACCCAUGACAAGGGGCUGAAAAUAUGCCGGACAGUCACUCAGGUAGUACCUGCAGAGGGCCAGGAGAAUGGGCAGAGGGAAGAAGAGGAAGAAGAGAAGGAACCUGAAGCAGAACCUCCUGUACCUCCCCAGGUGUCAGUAGAGGUGGCCUUGCCCCCACCUGCAGAGCAUGAAGUAAAGAAAGGUGA
rnacentral:lncRNA from 10 species